rnacentral:misc_RNA from 1 species
AAAAGCAAUACUGAAAAACACAAUUGAAAGCACCAAAAGAGGCCAUGAACCAACUUAUCCACCUCUUAAUAAAUCACUUACAACUAAUAAAGCUCUCUAAUUUAAGACCAUCGAAUUUAUUCUUUUUUUAAAAUUCUUAUUUACAUUUUCCUUCAUGUGCCUUCUUCUGGAUUUCUUGCCCCAUUUCCUUAUAUAACCAGUUAUAUCCUGCAUGUCAUAGCAAAAAACGCCACCAUUACAAGAACAAGCAUAAAAGCUGCAGAAACAAGAACUGGGCUGAAGAUGAAAAAAAGGGUUGGUAAUGGAGUGAUUGCAGGUGAGAAAAGGUAGAGGGAA